rnacentral:rRNA from 1 species
CAUAAAAAUAGAUCGGUGCCGGAGCUAACGCAUUAAGUGAACCGCCUGGGGAGUACGGCCGCAAGGCUAAAACUCAAGAGAAUUGACGGGUCCCUGCACAAGCGGUGGAGCACGUGGUUUAAUUCGAUGAUAAGCGAAGAACCUCACCUGGGCUUGACAUACUAGUGGUGGGAACCUGAAAGGGCGACGACCUCUACCUUCGGGUAGGGGAGCUAGCACAGGUGAUGCAUGGCUGUCGUCAGCUCGUGUCGUGGGACGUAGGGUUAAGUCCCGAAACGAGCGCAACCCUUGUCGUUAGUUGCCAGCGGGUAAUGCCGGGGACUCUAACGAGACUGCUGGUGAAUAGCCGGAGGAAGGAGGGGAUGACGUCAAGUCAUCAUGUCCCUUAUGCCCAGGGCGACACACAUGCUACAAUGGGAGGUACAAAGGGUCGCAAUACCGUAAGGUGGAGCUAAUCCAUAAAAACCUUCCUUAGUUCGGAUUGAGGUCUGCAACUCGACCUCAUGAAGCCGGAAUCGCUAGUAAUCGCGGGUCAGCCAUACCGCGGUGAAUAUGUACUCGGGGAUUGUACACACCGCCCGUCACACCAACCGAGUGGGGGGUACUUGAAGUCGUCCUAUCAAAGGGCGCCGAGGGUAACCUCC